rnacentral:rRNA from 1 species
GACGAACGCUGGCGGCGUGCUUAACACAUGCAAGUCGAACGGAAAGGCCCUGCUUUUGUGGGGUGCUCGAGUGGCGAACGGGUGAGUAACACGUGAGUAACCUGCCCUUGACUUUGGGAUAACUUCAGGAAACUGGGGCUAAUACCGGAUAGGAGCUCCUGCUGCAUGGUGGGGGUUGGAAAGUUUCGGCGGUUGGGGAUGGACUCGCGGCUUAUCAGCUUGUUGGUGGGGUAGUGGAUUACCAAGGCUUUGACGGGUAGCCGGCCUGAGAGGGUGACCGGCCACAUUGGGCCUGAGAUACGGCCCAGACUCCUACGGGAGGCAGCAGUGGGGAAUAUUGCACAAUGGGAGGAAGCCUGAUGCAGCAACGCCGCGUGCGGGAUGACGGCCUUCGGGUUGUAAACCGCUUUCGCCUGUGACGAAGCGUGAGUGACGGUAAUGGGUAAAGAAGCACCGGCUAACUACGUG